GAUUACCAAUAAAACUAGAGUUAAUGUACUAAUUGUUGUCAACUGUUUAUUUCUGCUGUAGGUGAAUCAGGGUAUUGUUAUGUUCAUCAAGUAAGUGGGACCCUCUUGCAAGAUUAUCGUCAUCCUGGACCCGUUUAUGGCUGCGAUUGGAGGGAUGCUGAUAUUUUGGCAACGGGCUGUGAAGACGGGAGGAUUAGGAUUUUCAGUGUUUCCAAGAACAGAAGGGAACCAGUUACAGAGCUUAAGGCUCACCUGAAGAAAGUUUUUCGUGUGAAGUGGAACCCUGUAUAUUCAGACAUUCUUUGUAGUGGCAGUGACGACUCUUCAGUAAGAAUCUGGUCCUUUUCUAAAGCUCAAUGUUUGACGAUAUUAGUAGGACAUUCCGACAAUGUCAGGGGCCUCGUCUGGUGUCCAGAAGUACCUUUCAUGCUCAUAUCUGGCUCUUGGGAUCGUACAUUAAGAGUGUGGGAUGCGAGACAUGCAAAUUGCCUUGAUGUUAAUUUGGACCAUGGAGCUGAUGUCUAUGGUCUCAGCAUACAUCCUAUUCGCCCGUUUUUGUUAGCCUCAUGUUCGAGGGAUUCAACAAUGCGUUUGUGGUCUUUA